rnacentral:rRNA from 1 species
GACGAACGCUGGCGGCGUGCUUAACACACGCAAGUCGAACGGUGAAGCCCAGCUUGCUGGGUGGAUCAGUGGCGAACGGGUGAGUAACACGUGAGUAACCUGCCCCUGACUCUGGGAUAAGCCUUGGAAACGAGGUCUAAUACCGGAUACGAGACGCUCGUGCAUGCGAUGUGUCUGGAAAGAUUUAUCGGUCAGGGAUGGACUCGCGGCCUAUCAGCUUGUUGGUGGGGUAACGGCCUACCAAGGCGACGACGGGUAGCCGGCCUGAGAGGGCGACCGGCCACACUGGGACUGGGACACGGCCCAGACUUCUACGGGAGGCAGCAGUGGGGAAUAUUGCACAAUGGGCGCAAGCCUGAUGCAGCGACGCCACGUGAGGGAUGAAGGCCUUCGGGUUGUAAACCUCUUUCAGCAGGGAAGAAGCGCAAGUGACGGUACCUGCAGAAGAAGCACCGGCUAACUACGUGCCAGCAGCCGCCGUAA